CAGUCAUGCCGGUGAGAAUCAACUUUAGGGAAGGGGGAUUUUUUUGAACCUAACCUUGAAGUGCACUUCUUCGCUUGGCAGGUUAGCGUCGAUUUUGAACGUCAUAAAAUGAUUGGGGGAAGGUAGCUCUUUCGGGAGUGUUAUAGCCCUUAAUUAAUGUGAUAUUUGGGAUCGAGGAUUGCAACGGAUACCUUUUUAGGCUAGCCGCCUGGCCUCUG
rnacentral:rRNA from 1 species